rnacentral:rRNA from 1 species
UGCCAGCAGCCGCGGUAAUACGGAGGGGGCAAGCGUUAUUCGGAUUCAUUGGGCGUAAAGGGCGUGUAGGCGGCCCGGUAUGUCUGGCGUGAAAUCUCCACUGCUCAACAGGGAGAAGCCGCUGGAAACUGCUGGGCUUGAGGACCGGAGAGGCCGGUGGAAUUCCAGGUGUAGCGGUGGAAUGCGUAGAUAUCUGGAAGAACACCAGUGGCGAAGGCGGCCGGCUGGACGGUUCCUGACGCUGAGGCGCGAAAGUGUGGGUAGCGAACAGGAUUAGAUA